rnacentral:rRNA from 1 species
GAUGAACGCUGGCGGCAGGCUUAACACAUGCAAGUCGAGCGGGGAAGGGUAGCUUGCUACCUGACCUAGCGGCGGACGGGUGAGUAAUGCUUAGGAAUCUGCCUAUUAGUGGGGGACAACAUUCCGAAAGGAAUGCUAAUACCGCAUACGCCCUACGGGGGAAAGCAGGGGAUCUUCGGACCUUGCGCUAAUAGAUGAGCCUAAGUCAGAUUAGCUAGUUGGUGGGGUAAAGGCCUACCAAGGCGACGAUCUGUAGCGGGUCUGAGAGGAUGAUCCGCCACACUGGGACUGAAACACGGCCCAGACUCCUACGGGAGGCAGCAGUGGGGACUAUUGGACAAUGGGCGCAAGCCUGAUCUAGCCAUGCCGCGUGUGUGAAGAAGGCCUUUUGGUUGUAAAGCACUUUAAGCGAGGAGGAGGCUACUUGGAUUAAUACUCUAGGAUAGUGGACGUUACUCGCAGAAUAAGCACCGGCUAACUCUGUGCCAGCAGCCGCGGUAA